ACUCAAAUGAAUUGACGGGGACCCGCACAACUGGUGGAGCGUGUGGUUUAAUUCGAGACGAAGCGAAACACCUUACCAAGGUUUGACAUGAUACCGUACAGCCCUUUAGAAAUAAGGGGCAAUCCGCAAGGAUGGUACCACAGGUGAUGCAUGGCUGUCGUCAGCUCGUGCCGUGAGGUGUUCCCUUAAGUGGGGAAACGAGCGCAACCCGUGUCUAAUGUUACAUACUCAUUAGAAACUGCCCCGAUUUAAUCGGGGAGGAAGGAGCGGAAGACGUCAAGUCAGCACGUCCCUUAUACCUUGGGUAACACACACCCUACAAUGGCGAAGAACAAUGAGCUGCAAGCCGGUGACGGCAAGCUAAUCUCAGAAAUUUCGCCUCAGUUCAGAUUGGAGUCUGCAACUCGACUCCAUGAAGUCGGAAUCAGUAGUAAUCGCGGAUCAGAAGGCCGCGGUGAAUACGUUCUCGGGUCUUGUACACACCGCCCGU
rnacentral:rRNA from 1 species